GACGAACGCUGGCGGCGUGCUUAACACAUGCAAGUCGUACGGUAAGGCCCUUUCGGGGGUCCACGAGUGGCGAACGGGUGAGUAACACGUGAGUAACCUGCCCACAACUUUGGGAUAACGCUAGGAAACUGGUGCUAAUACUGGAUAUGUGCUCCUGCUGCAUGGUGGGGGUUGGAAAGCUCCGGCGGUUGUGGAUGGACUCGCGGCCUAUCAGCUUGUUGGUGGGGUAGUGGCCUACCAAGGCGGCGACGGGUAGCCGGCCUGAGAGGGUGACCGGCCACAUUGGGACUGAGAUACGGCCCAGACUCCUACGGGAGGCAGCAGUGGGGAAUAUUGCACAAUGGGCGCAAGCCUGAUGCAGCAACGCCGCGUGCGGGAUGACGGCCUUCGGGUUGUAAACCGCUUUCAGCAGGGACGAAGCUUUUUGUGACGGUACCUGCAGAAGAGGCACCGGCUAACUACGUG
rnacentral:rRNA from 1 species